CAGCCGCCACGGUAAAACGGGGGGGGCAAGUGUUAUUCGGAAUGACUGGGCGUAAAGGGCACGUAGGCGGUGAAAAGGGUGGAAUGUGAAAGUCGCCAAAACACUGGCGGGGUGCUUUCUUGACCAUUUCACUUGAGUGAGAUAGGGGAAAGUGGAAUUUCGUGUGGAGGGAUCAAAUCCUAAGAUAUACGAAGGAACGCCAACCGCGAAGGCAGCUCUCUGGGUCCCCACUGACGCUGGGGUGCGAAAGCAUGGGGAGAAAACAGGAUCAGAUACCCCGGUAGUCCCUGUCUCUUAUACA
rnacentral:rRNA from 1 species